AAUACAUAAAACAUUUACAGUUAAGGUUGUUCUAGCCCCCACUCUAUCUAUACACAGUGUUCCUUAUAUGUAGGUAAUCUUACCUACAUACAAUAAUUACGUAUCUACCCAAUUCUAAAAGAAGUUUACAUAUAUACAUAAUUGAUGCUAAGUAGUACUUAAGUAGGGCUCUUCUCAAAAAAAUAGUUAUACAUACAUUGUACAUUAGAAGUAAUGCACAUUAAUCUUAUAUCAUAUUUCAUAAAUUAAGUACUAAUAAUUUCAUUCUGCAUUCCAGGGGUUUUCGAUGCACACAUGUGACCCUUCAUGGGCCAUAGGAAUAUGAAGACCGCUUCUUGUAUAUCUUUUCCAUCACGGAACAAUGGUGUUCCGGACCUUUGGUAGGCGUGCGCGGAGCCGUAGGCAACACAUACGGGAUCAUAUCAAUUACGUGGACAAGUCGUAUGGUGGGACAACCUACGACACCUUUAUAUGGAGCAACAGCGUUAGUCGAGAUUACUUCGAGCAGCUGGCAUGUGUGGCACCAGCGAAAUAGUGUACAUUAGAUAUGGGAACAAGUCAACUACAUCAUUAACAUGGACGCGUCGUACGGCAGGGCAACCCACGACGCCUUCAUAUGUAGCAUUAGCAUUAGUCAAGACUACUUCGAGCAGCGGGCAUGUGGUACCAGCGAAAUAGCGCAC